UACGUAGGGUGCAAGCGUUAAUCGGAAUUACUGGGCGUAAAGCGUGCGCAGGCGGUUGGGCAAGACAGAUGUGAAAUCCCCGGGCUCAACCUGGGAACUGCAUUUGUGACUGCACGGCUAGAGUGUGUCAGAGGGGGGUAGAAUUCCACGUGUAGCAGUGAAAUGCGUAGAUAUGUGGAGGAAUACCGAUGGCGAAGGCAGCCCCCUGGGAUAACACUGACGCUCAUGCACGAAAGCGUGGGGAGCAAACAGG
rnacentral:rRNA from 1 species